GGCUAGGUGGCGGAGUGGUUAACGCGGUAGACUCGAAUUAUCAAGUAAUCUACUUCCUUCGGGAGCGUCUGUUCGAAUCAGGCCCUAGUCG
rnacentral:tRNA from 1 species